CCUACGGGGGCUGCAGUGGGGAAUAUUGGACAAUGGGGGCAACCCUGAUCCAGCCAUGCCGCGUGUGUGAAGAAGGCCCUCGGGUUGUAAAGCACUUUCAGUGAGGAAGAACGCCUGGUGGUUAAUACCCAUCAGGAAAGACAUCACUCACAGAAGAAGCACCGGCUAACUCCGUGCCAGCAGCCGCGGUAAUACGGAGGGUGCGAGCGUUAAUCGGAAUUACUGGGCGUAAAGCGCGCGUAGGUGGCUUGAUAAGCCGGUUGUGAAAGCCCCGGGCUCAACCUGGGAACGGCAUCCGGAACUGUCAAGCUAGAGUGCAGGAGAGGAAGGUAGAAUUCCCGGUGUAGCGGUGAAAUGCGUAGAGAUCGGGAGGAAUACCAGUGGCGAAGGCGGCCUUCUGGACUGACACUGACACUGAGGUGCGAAAGCGUGGGUAGCAAACAGGAUUAGAUACCCUAGUAGUC
rnacentral:rRNA from 1 species